GACGAACGCUGGCGGCGUGCUUAACACAUGCAAGUCGAGCGGUAAGGCCCUUUCGGGGGUACACGAGCGGCGAACGGGUGAGUAACACAUGGGUGACCUGCCCUCAGCUCUGGGAUAAGCCUGGGAAACCGGGUCUAAUACUGGAUAUGACUCCAUGACGCAUGUUGUGGGGUGGAAAGCCUUGUGCGGCUGAGGAUGGGCCCGCGGCCUAUCAGCUUGUUGGUGGGGUGAUGGCCUACCAAGGCGACGACGGGUAGCCGGCCUGAGAGGGCGACCGGCCACACUGGGACUGAGACACGGCCCAGACUCCUACGGGAGGCAGCAGUGGGGAAUCUUGCGCAAUGGGCGAAAGCCUGACGCAGCGACGCCGCGUGAGGGAUGACGGCCUCGGU
rnacentral:rRNA from 1 species